AGUGAACGCUGGCGGUAGGCCUAACACAUGCAAGUCGAACGGCAGCACCGUAAGAGCUUGCUCUUACGGGUGGCGAGUGGCGGACGGGUGCGGAAUACAUCGGAAUCUACUUUUUCGUGGGGGAUAACGUAGGGAAACUUACGCUAAUACCGCAUACGACCUACGGGUGAAAGCAUGGGAUCUUCGGACCUUGCGCGAUUGAAUGAGCCGAUGUCGGAUUAGCUAGUUGGCGGGGUAAAGGCCCACCAAGGCGACGAUCCGUAGCUGGUCUGAGAGGAUGAUCAGCCACACUGGAACUGAGACACGGUCCAGACUCCUACGGGAGGCAGCAGUGGGGAAUAUUGGACAAUGGGCGCAAGCCUGAUCCAGCCAGACCGCGUGGGUGAAGAAGGCCUUCGGGUUGUAAAGCCCUUUUGUUGGGAAAGAAAAGCAGCAGGUUAAUACCCCGCUGUUCUGACGGUACCCAAAGAAUAAGCACCGGCUAACUUCGUG
rnacentral:rRNA from 1 species